rnacentral:lncRNA from 1 species
UCCUCCUGAAAUCUCCAUUUGUGCUCACAAAAUUAAUCUAUAGAGUGAGCUGAGAUGACGGGUGAUAAAUUUGUCACCGAGGGCAGUAAAUGUGUUUGACGAACAUUCUUGUUCCAGACGGACCUAUAGCGUAUCUUAAUAUUUACACUCGCGCUGUAUUUUAACGCAUUUUGCCCUGUAUUUAGGGGACGUGUAGUAGUCCUAUAUUAGAUACCCGAG